rnacentral:lncRNA from 1 species
GAUAAUUUAGUAUGAACCUUUGGGAAUCAAAUAAUAAUUAAAAUAGCCGUUGCAAAUUAAUAAAGUGAUAUUGUAGAUAAAAAUAAUGUUCUGUUUCUGAAUUUGAGGAAUGAAUUGAUUACUUAAGCAAUCAUGUAUCAAUAAAUAUUUAACACUGUGAAAAUAAUGGUAACAAGAUGGACAUGAUCCCUGAAUUCAUAGAUCUUAUGACCAAGUUGGAAAAACAGAUUAAAGAUAAAAAUUGACAAUAUAAAUUAUGACAGUGCUAUGAAAAAAGAAUCUUAUGGAGAGUAUCAGUACUAAAGGGACAAACUUACUUUAGAUAAGAGCCCUGAAGGAUGAGGAGAAGUAGUUUUUAAAUAACUGGAGGUGAAGAUAGGAGAAGCAGCCUUCAGGGGGAAAGGAACUUGGAUUUUUAAAAGAAUUG